UACAGAGACUGCAAGCGUUAUUCGGAUUCACUGGGCGUAAAGGGUGCGCAGGCGGCCAUGUGUGUGAGGCGUGAAAGCCCGGGGCUCAACCCCGGAAUUGCACCUCAAACUACAUGGCUAGAGCAUUGGAGAGGGUAGCGGAAUUCACGGUGUAGCAGUGAAAUGCGUAGAUAUCGUGAGGAACACCAGAGGCGAAGGCGGCUACCUGGACAAUUGCUGACGCUCAGGCACGAAAGCGUGGGGAGCAAAAGGG
rnacentral:rRNA from 1 species